AAGUCGUAACAAGGUUUCCGUAGGUGAAGGAUCAUUAACACGUAUCCAACGUUAAACCCCCCUGUGAACCUUCAGUGUGCUCGUACACUCUAUUUUAAAUAGGCAGUAAUCCCUGGUAAAUCAUUGCCGAACAGUAUUGAUUCAGGGACUUCUGCGCAGACUGUGCUUGUAGCGCGAGGUAAGUGGCCUGGCAUUCCUCUGCUUGUUGGUGUCUGAAAGUGUCAUCAGCUCUGUACGAAUGGCGCAGUAACGAUCGCUAGAGGCCGAUCGGGCCAGCGGGCGCAAGCCCCCUUAAAUAUUCACCCCUUUGCAUGAAAACGGGCCUGCGCUUAAUUGUGCGGCCACCAAACUCGAACAACUGUUAACAAUGGAUAUCUUGGUUCUG
rnacentral:misc_RNA from 1 species